CAUAGCCGAUGCGCUCCGAUGUUGGCAGCUCCUCUUACUGACGCGCUGCAUCUGUUUCGCUGCUGGCUUGUCUCUAGAGAUUGCGCUUCACCGGAGCAGAGCGGGACGGAUUGGCUGCGUACAGCUGGCCUAGGGAGGGUCUCCUGUCUGAAAGUCAGGGCGAUGAGUUCAUCAGGAGAGGGAUGCUGACAAAACACACAGGAUUCUAACCGUGCCUUUGCCCUGGUGCCUGCUCUGGGCGUUAUCCCACGCUUUCAGGCCUGUCUGUAGGAUGCCACUCAAUGUGAGGCAGCUUCAUCUGUGAGGUGUUCUGUGGAGAUCUGAGACCAGCGUGGAAGGAUGCAAGAAAAUGACCCAGUCAAACCUCAAGGUGACAGAUGUUGAGAAUUGUGUGAACGCGUGAGUAACACAAGAAUGCGAGGAAGGCUUCCUGAGCAUCGCCCGCCUUUCCCCUGGGUAUAAGCAGCUCAAGAGAUCUUUGCUUCAAUUAAAACUGUGUUUUCCACUGAAAUUCCUAAUAACCACAGAUUCUUCCUUCCCUGUGCAAGCAGCAAAAGUUUGAUGGAAGGGCACAUGAGUUGCUG